rnacentral:rRNA from 1 species
GACAGAGGUCCCAAGCGUUGUUCGGAUUCAUUGGGCGUAAAGGGUGCGUAGGCGGCGCGGUAAGUCGGGUGUGAAAUCUCGGAGCUUAACUCCGAAACUGCAUUCGAUACUGCCGUGCUUGAGGACUGGAGAGGAGACUGGAAUUUACGGUGUAGCGGUGAAAUGCGUAGAUAUCGUAAGGAAGACCAGUGGACGGAAGGCGGGUCUCUGGACAGUUCCUGACGCUGAGGCACGAAGGCCAGGGGAGCAAACGGG